CUGGAAACAAGAAGUGUUUGUUGUUUGAGUCUGGGUGUCUGAUCCUGUUCGCUUAUUAGGGCCGGGAGGCGUCAGUCUGUUCAGAACAACACUGAAGCUGCAGGCUGAAACUCACCACAUAGAGACGAGAAGAAAAUAAAUUUAUCAGCGCAGGUUGCAUCCCAGUCGUCUCCAUCAUGAAGAUCCUGAGUUUGUCUUGGUUUGGAUUCACCGUGUUGACUUUAGUCCAGGCAGUCGCCAUUCCAGUCACAGACGAUGAUGCUGGUCCAACAGGAGACGCUCCAUUCGAUGAUUUCUAUCCUCAUCAUCCACCAACCCAAGAUUACGGUCAUGACUGGAUGGAAGGAACUGAUGGAGACUCUCACUGGGACUUCUCUUGCCCUGAUGGAUGGUCGAUGCACAGCACGCAGUGCCUCCUCUUUGUUCCCAGAAUCUGACCUGGAAUGAGGCAAAGAAAAACUGUGCAUCCAAAGGUGACGGUUCACUUGCUGCUGUGUCUAGUGACAUUCAAGCUGAUGAGAUUUACAAUGAGAUGGAAAGAGCUGGGCAUCAUGGCGGACAAGUGUGGGUUGGAGGCAGCAGAACAUCCCAGGUCGAUCCCUCUUUCCCUGCCUUUGCUAAGUUUUGCAAUGAGCAAAGUUCACACCAUGAGAACGACUGUCUGCAGAUCUCUUUUGAUCAUGGCUCUGGAUGCCUGGAUGCCACCAAAUGUGACGCUGAGCUCCCGUCUGUCUGUGCAAUCCUCCUCUACUAGAUGAACUUGCAUGGUGUCCAUACAAGUUAGCAUGGACACCAGCCUCUCAUUUCCUACAUUUCCUAAAAUGUUUCUGCUCUGUUGCUUUAAUAUAACAAAAACUGACCAAAGGCACAGACACCUGCUGCUUGUAAUGCAGGAGAAAGCAACCUGUCCCUUCUGACAACUUUCCAAAUAAAAUCUUUAGCAAUGAUAAAAAAAAGUGUGUGUGUGUGUGUGUGUGUGUGUGUGUGUGUAUUAAAGCAACACAUUUUUCUCCCUUC